rnacentral:tRNA from 1 species
GGAGAGAUGGCAGAGUGGUCUAUCGCGACGGUCUUGAAAACCGUUGAAGCGCAAGCUUCCGGGGGUUCGAAUCCCUCUCUCUCCGCCA